GCGAGAAGCAAUUUGCCUAAUGUCCCUUUCGUUCGUCAGUCUGACAAUGGGUCACCUGUCCUCACCGACUGCGAAUGCAGGAAACAAUUUGCCAUUUUUCCCGUUCGUUCAUCCGACUGACAGAUUGUGGCCACCUUAUACCCCGAAUAAUACUACGACUGGGAAUGAUGGAAGCAAUUUGCCAUCUGUCCCCAUCGUUCAUCGUGGGUUGUGGUAACCAUCUGUCCCGCCUAAUUCUUCAACUUGGAUUGGUAUAGAAAACAAUUUGCCAUCUAUCACUUUUGUUCGUCCGACUGCUGACCAUGGGCCACCUUCUGUCCUCACUGAUAGGACUGAAAUUGAUGUGUGGUCAACUGCUUGCUUCACUACACCAACAGGAAACGGAGGAAUAGGUGCAGUAGCCCAGGAUGAAAAUUCACAUUCAACGACUGGAGAAGGUCAUUUGAGAGAGAGCAGUCUAACUUCAUUUGGUGUUGCGAUUGCAACCUCGAUUUUAACUGGAGACGAAGAUGUGCAAACUCCCACUACAUCUGGCGUUUUUCGUCGCCCGUGGCAGAUGACACUUCCGUCAGAACCUCACACAGAAGUCUACAAUGUUAGUUCUCCUCCACCGAUCAAAAUGCAUCAAUCCCCGCCAUGUUUGAUCGAUAGCUCUGCAAAUAUCCAUUCGUCAAGCAGUUCGGCAUCAAGUUACAUUUA